ACAUUCCUAUUUAUAGUUACACUCAGAUACAGUUAUUCUCGUUAACUUUUGGGUUGGAGGGGCAGCAGUCCCCCAGGAGUUGAAACAAAGAGCACGUCUGCCACCUCCUGGACACUCAGAGGAACUCAAAGGAUUUUUCCACAGGAAGAGGGGGAGUUUGAUGAAUUUCGUUUCAAAUUUACUUCAACAGUAGAGAAUUUAGCCAAGUACUAAACAGAUUCAUUUUUGCCUUUGUGAAGGCGUGCACGCCUUUGAUCAUUCAGUCGUUUGAAUGAACUCAACGUGGUUGUUUCCGCUUUGGCCUCGAAGUCUUGGCACCGCACCGCCUCUGCGUAGCCGAGCCUCACAGCCUCCAGCUGGGCUUCCUUAGUUUUGGCAGGGACUGCCUUCCCACUGAUGGAAGGUUUACAAAGAAAAAAAUCGUUAUGUCUGAAAUUCUGCCAGGACACAUCAGUGUAUUUCCAGGCUGCCAGCUAUUGUGUAACUCUCUGAAGAUUUAAUAUUUAAAAACAAAAUUGAAAUGCACCUGUUUCUAAGGAAAACCACCUUGUCAUAUGAUAGCAUGCUUUUGUUAAAUCAGAAAAUUUUAAAUUUUAUUUAUUUGGGUUUCCAACUUGGGUUUCUUCCCUUAGGCUUCUGAUCUCUUUGUUAAGUACAACUUGCUUCUAAGGUCACCCUCCCACCCUCCACAAUUAGCCCGGAGAUUUACCAGGGGUUCUGGCACCAACUUUACCCAGCAAGCUGAGCGCAGCGCUGUUUGUGGUUAUACGCUAAGUGAUUCCGCAACUAUGCUAUCUUUAGAGUCUUGUCUCAUCCCACACAAAGCUCUUUUCAGACCCAGUUUGACAUUCUGAUAUUGUACCGUGGCUCUGCAGGGUCAGAGAGUAUAAUGCGGCAAUUCAGUAUCUGUCUUACAGCAGAAAGGGGGUUCAGUGUUGAGUUAAAGGACAGGCUGAUGACAAGGAGGGAGAAGCAACGUUCAGUGGAUUCUGCCACUUUGCUCUGGCGUGGGAAACUUGCAUUAAACAAAACUUUCUUCCAAGCCGACUGUCCCACCCUAGACAAUUUGAAGAGGCAGAGAGCGAAUGGAGCAGUCACUGGUGGGACGUACCUCAGAGGAGAACCUCGAACUCCUGCAGGAGGUGCCAGGCAUCUGUUCUUCCUGAGGGCUCCUGUCAACUUGCCCUCCUCUUUCUCAGCUGCCCACAGCGUGAUCUAUUGAUGCGCAGUUCUCGAGUCUGUUCUGAGAAGGUCAGGAAGAGCAGCGAUAGCAUCGGCUGCCCCACGGACGAGGAAGGCACUGUGGCAGACAGUGAGCGGCCUCCACGCGAGACCCCGACCCUGCGCCUUCUCAUGCACAGACUGCUUUCCUGUCUUUCUUCUGUCUGGUUUAACCUCCCACUCCCACAGAGGGCUUCUUUCAGGAAGGUUGGUGUCCUUUACUGCCAUCUAGUUUCAGUAAGGGGCCAUCCUCUUCCCCCAGACAGAUUUUAACAACUUCACAUCUCAGAGCGGAGGGAUUGGAAUUUGUUUUUCUCUUUCAGAAGGUCUCUUUAUUUCUACAUAAAUUCUUGGCUGCAGUGGCGCGGCUCAGCUAAGCUUCCCCCAGCAGCGUUCAUGCUCCAAGUUGGAUGGACAAUUCCUGUCUUACCAACGCCGGGCAGCAGUAAGUGAACAAACCGUUCUCUAGUACGAACACUCGGCGGGACAGUUUCCUGUAACACGCACUACUAGUCUCAUGUAAAAGAGCUAAAUUCUCUUUUUAUUUAAGGAGGUUAAUAAAUGAGAUCUAAAAUUGAAAUACCA
rnacentral:lncRNA from 1 species